GAUGAACGCUAGCUACAGGCUUAACACAUGCAAGUCGAGGGGAAACGGCAUUGGGUGCUUGCACUCUUUGGACGUCGACCGGCGCACGGGUGAGUAACGCGUAUCCAACCUUCCCAUUACUGUGGGAUAACCUGCCGAAAGGCAGACUAAUACCGCAUAGUCUUCGAUGACGGCAUCAGAUUUGAAGUAAAGAUUUAUCGGUAAUGGAUGGGGAUGCGUCUGAUUAGCUUGUUGGCGGGGUAACGGCCCACCAAGGCAACGAUCAGUAGGGGUUCUGAGAGGAAGGUCCCCCACAUUGGAACUGAGACACGGUCCAAACUCCUACGGGAGGCAGCAGUGAGGAAUAUUGGUCAAUGGACGGAAGUCUGAACCAGCCAAGUAGCGUGCAGGAUGACGGCCCUAUGGGUUGUAAACUGCUUUUGUAUGGGGAUAAAGUUAGGGACGUGUCCCUAUUUGCAGGUACCAUACGAAUAAGGACCGGCUAAUUCCGUGCCAGCAGCCGCGGUAAUACGGAAGGUCCAGGCGUUAUCCGGAUUUAUUGGGUUUAAAGGGAGCGUAGGCUGGAGAUUAAGUGUGUUGUGAAAUGUAGACGCUCAACGUCUGAAUUGCAGCGCAUACUGGUUUCCUUGAGUACGCACAACGUUGGCGGAAUUCGUCGUGUAGCGGUGAAAUGCUUAGAUAUGACGAAGAACUCCGAUUGCGAAGGCAGCUGACGGGAGCGCAACUGACGCUUAAGCUCGAAGGUGCGGGUAUCAAACAGG
rnacentral:rRNA from 1 species